rnacentral:rRNA from 1 species
GAUCACGUAGGGUUUUAAUCGUUGAACAAACGAACCUUUAGUAGCGGCUGCACCACUGGGAUACCCUGAUCCAACAUCGAGGUCGUAAACCCAUCUGUCGAUAAGAGCUCUUGAGAUGGAUUGCGCUGUUAUCCCUAGGGUAACUUGGUUCAUUGAUCAAAAUAUUGGGUCAAUAAUGUCAGUUUUUUGAUGCGUAGAAUUGUAUUUCUUUGCUUAGAAUUAUGGUUCUAAUUCAUUGUGGAGGUUAAGUUUUACUCCGUGGUCACCCCAACCGAAAACUUGCAGUCAUGUUAUUAAGGUUUAUUUUAUAGUCUUGAGAUGUGUUAAUAGAAAAUAAUUGCUGGGAAGUUUUAAGCUCCAUAGGGUCUUCUCGUCUUAUAGUUUUAUUCCCGCUUCUUCACGGGAAGAUUAGUUUCACUGAUUUAGAAAAGGAGACAGUAUAACCCUCGUGAUGCCAUUCAUACUAGUCCUCAUUUAAAGAACAAGUGAUUACSCUACCUUCGCACGGUUAGAAUACCGCGGCCGUUAAACAGAGUCACUGGGCAGGC